rnacentral:rRNA from 1 species
UACGAAGGGUGCGAGCGUUACUCGGAAUUACUGGGCGUAAAGCGUGCGUAGGUGGUUUGUUAAGUCUGAUGUGAAAGCCCUGGGCUCAACCUGGGAAUUGCAUUGGAUACUGGCAGGCUAGAGUGCGGUAGAGGGUAGUGGAAUUCCCGGUGUAGCAGUGAAAUGCGUAGAGAUCGGGAGGAACACCAGUGGCGAAGGCGACUACCUGGACCAGCACUGACACUGAGGCACGAAAGCGUGGGGAGCAAACAGG